GACGAACGCUGGCGGCGUGCCUAAUACAUGCAAGUUGAGCGCUGAAGGUUGGUACUUGUACCAACUGGAUGAGCAGCGAACGGGUGAGUAACGCGUGGGGAAUCUGCCUUUGAGCGGGGACAACAUUUGGAAACGAAUGCUAAUACCGCAUAAAAACUUUAAACACAAGUUUUAAGUUUGAAAGAUGCAAUUGCGUCACUCAAAGAUGAUCCCGCGUUGUAUUAGCUAGUUGGUGAGGUAAAGGCUCACCAAGGCGAUGAUACAUAGCCGACCUGAGAGGGUGAUCGGCCACAUUGGGACUGAGACACGGCCCAAACUCCUACGGGAGGCAGCAGUAGGGAAUCUUCGGCAAUGGACGAAAGUCUGACCGAGCAACGCCGCGUGAGUGAAGAAGGUUUUCGGAUCGUAAAACUCUGUUGGUAGAGAAGAACGUUGGUGAGAGUGGAAAGCUCAUCAAGUGACGGUAACUACCCAGAAAGGGACGGCUAACUACGUG
rnacentral:rRNA from 1 species